AAUUAUCGCCUGAAGAGAUGAUCAUCGAUGGUGACGGCGGGAAAGCUCGACGGCGAACAAGGAAGAGAUUGUUCCAGCAAAUUGAUUUGCCAGAAGGGUUCCUGCGAUACAGUGAAGCAACAACAAAUUGAUUUCGGUAAGGAGUCUUCACGAAUCUGUAGAAGAGAAUAAAAAUCAGAGGAGUCCCAACCACAGCCAGCAGAAUUCGCGAGUUGGUUCAAUUUGACGUGAUCUCUGUCUGGAAGAACGAGGAAGAAGAAGAUCGAUGCAAUUCUGAAUCGAAGAAAUCAUAACAAGAGGAAAACGGAUUCAGGUUAAGGAAGAGUCGAAGAUUCUUGACUCAAAGAGAUUGUUUUCUCUUGAUUAGUACAUAAGAAGAAGGCUGCUUAAGAUAUAAGCACUAGUUGUUUUGUGGUGAUUCUCUGUUGUUGUUUUCUGGAUGCUCAUGGAAUGCUAAAAUCAACGCUUUGAUUGGAUCACAUACUGAAAAGUGAUCAGAAUGAAUUGAGGAAAGGUCUUCUUGAGUUUUCAGUCUUAAGAAAAAUCAGGUUCAUAAGAGGUCUUGCUAGUGUAUGUGGAAAGUUGUGUCUCUACAUGUUUCUCAAGAUGUUGCUGGUUUCAAAAUGAUAUUAUGGUUCACUCUAAGGGUUCAAGCUGAGUAAGAUGUAACGAAAUCAGAAGUAACAUAUAUAUAUUGCAGAAUCUUGUGGUUUUGCCACACGAAUCUUUGCUAAUAGUAUUUAUCUGAUCACCAAUUGUUCCUAUACUGUUGUUGUCAAAGAGAACAGGAAUGCGAGAAUAUGAUUGGAAAAUGGACCCAGAAGUUUGCAGAGCUUACCUAUGAGCAUAUCUUCUUGAAGGACAACUUGAGGACAAGUUGAAUUGCAGGAUCUACAAGCGUCAUCAACAACACAUGCCUCAUCAACUAGUUGGUUGGCAAUAUAAAUAUAAUGUUUUGGUAAAACUUUUUGGUGCCUCUUGGGGUUUGGAGACUGUCUGUAGAAAAAACCAUAAAUAAAGUUGUUUUAGAUUCCAAACCUUAUGAUCAGUAUUCCAAUUAACUGUUGGGAAAGAUCACGACAAUCACAG
rnacentral:lncRNA from 1 species